GCCUUCGUGGUGUAGUGGUCAGCCUGCUGGACGCGUAUUUCAGAGGUGCGUGGUUCAAGUCCCGGCGAAGGCG
rnacentral:tRNA from 1 species